AGCUCCAAUAGCGUAUAUUAAAGUUGUUGUGGUUAAAAAGCUCGUAGUUGGAUCUCGGCGGUCUGAGGGCGGUUCGCUUGAUUGAGUGCUACUGCUCUAUAGGCCGUGGUUUUGCCAGAGGUCUCGGGGUGCUCUUAACCGAGUGUCCUGCGAUGCUGGCAGGUUUACUUUGAAAAAAUUAGAGUGCUCAAAGCAGGCUUUUACGCCUGAAUAUUCGUGCAUGGAAUAAUAGAAUAGGAAGUCGUUUCUAUUUUGUGGGUUUUCGGAAAUCGACUUAAUGAUUAAGAGGGACUGCCGGGGGCAUUGGUAUGGCGGGGUUAGAGGUGAAAUUCUUGGAUCCUCGCCAGACCAACAAAAGCGAAAGCAUUUGCCAAGAAUGUCUUCA
rnacentral:rRNA from 1 species